ensembl:lncRNA
CACAGGAUCUGUGUAAGACCAGAGUGAGGCCAGGAGUCCCAGCCUGAGGUCCUUAAUCCCAGUUUGAGGCAGUUAGUGGGCCACUCCAGGUCAGUAUAAACCCAGCACUAAGCCCCAUAUCCCCACUGAAGCCAGUCCCCAAAGUAUUGACCAGUGGGAGCCCAGACAUAGCUAAACCCUAUCAAAGCUCAAAGCAGACCCCCCGGGGAAGGCAGUCCACGAUGUACCUGACCUGAUCAAGUCCAAAGUGAGACCAAAAGACCCUGCCUAAGCCUGAGAUUAGUCUUUGAGCCAUCAGCAGUCUCCAGGGGGUGACUGAAUCAGCAGUGGAAGGUGACUUUCUAUAAGUCAUCAUCCUACCUUAGAAGAACUGAAAUUUACAGAAAAACAGAAAUAAAGCUACUUUCCGCAACAGAGGACCUGGUUUCAAAUCCUGUUUCUGAUGAUUCCUGCUUACCUGGCUUUAGAUCCUACCAGAAGAUAAACAUAUUGGACAAGACUUUGAAAAAUAAGCUGUCCAAUAAAGAAGAUUUUCCAUCUACCUCCUUUAAAUCUGAACUUGGGACACUUACCGUGAAGCCAAGAACCAGAGUUCUCCUUAUUCUGACCCCAAGUGGGUCAGGUGAACUAAACCUGAUCUGCUUAACUUUGGGGGGAAGGAUACUAGCUAGUUAGGGACCCCGUCUCCCUCCUUCCUUCCUGAUCACUAAAACAUAACCCUCCAUCUGCCCUGUACCCUUUUUUGUUUCCUUCCAAAAAAAUUUUUGUUAAAAAAAGAUACAAGAAUUGACUUAAUAUUAGUAGAGGGCAACUUGAGAGGGGUGGGGAGAAGUGACUUUCUCUCCUGAAGAAGAAGAGAAAUUAUCCCCAUAAGUCUCUUCAAUAGAUCCUUCAUAGAACCCAGCAGUCAAAGCUGAAGGCAGCCUUGGGGGGGGGGGAGCCAUCGGUCCCUUUUUACCCUUUUCCCCUUAUCAUAAAUCUUCCCCAUGUUACCAUCUAUAACAUUAUCCAAAAAAAGGGAGAUUAAAAUGGUUUGGGACAUAGUGCUACAUAACAAAGGAAUUAAUUACUAAAAGGAGGAAGUCAGAACUCAAACAAAACUGAAUUUAAGGUAAAUAUAGAUUAUUUUUUUCUCUUUUUCUUGGUCUCUGACCAUUUCUGCCUCUUAUCUCAAUAUCUGUGUCUUUGUGUCUUUAUCUCUUUAACUCCUUUCCUUUCUCUCUUUUUGUCUCUAUUUCUCUGUCUUUCUCUGUGUCUGUAUUUCUCUCUCUGCAUUGAUUGAUUGAGAGAAUAGACUUUCUCCUGGCAAGAAUUUUGCUUCCUGCUGACAAUGGUUGCCAAGCCCCUAACACUAUUAUCUGUCUGAUUCUAUCAAAUUCAAUAUUUCUCAUUCCCUUGCCAUAGUAUCAGGGUGCUAGGAACAUGCAGGAAUAAUUAGAUUAAGACAAAGAAAACUAGAGAUUAUCUUCACCUGCAUCUAUUUCACAUAAACCUAUAAAAUAAUUUGUGGGAAAUAUCAAAGAAUAUUUCCUCCAAUGACAAAAAUAGAAAUCUAUUCAUCCACUGAAUGCUCUCCCUAACUCUUGACCAUUCUUUAAUCUUCCAAAAAGAGUCCAUCCAAUGUCCCGGGAGUUUUGUUUUUUUUUUCCCAACAUCUCUCAGUAUUGACCAGAUA